UGUUAAAAGCAUUGGAGAUACCGAGUGA
rnacentral:sRNA from 1 species